rnacentral:piRNA from 1 species
UUCCACAGGAACCUUAUGAAGUCCAUGGA